GAUGAAGAACGCAGCGAAAUGCGAUAAGUAGUGUGAAUUGCAGAAUUUAGUGAAUCAUCGAAUCUUUGAACGCACAUUGCGCCCUAUAGUAUUCUGUAGGGCAUGCCUGUUCGAGCGUUAUUGAGACCUCAAGCUCAGCUUGGAAAUGGGCGCUUGUCUUGCCUUGCAGACUCGCCUUAAAACCAUUGGCAGCUGAUUUACAAUGUUUGGUGCACAGUACAUGAGCCCAAGUGUUGCAAUGAGUGGCCCAAAAGUAUACAAUAGAAGCUUAACCUCGGAUCAGGUAGGGAUACCCGCUGAACUUAAGCAUAUCAAUAAGCGGAGGA
rnacentral:misc_RNA from 1 species